AAGUCGUAACAAGGUUUCCGUAGGUGAACCUGCGGAAGGAUCAUUACAGAGUUCUCGCCCUAACGGGUAGAUCUCCCACCCACUGUUAUCGUUACCGUCGUUGCUUUGGCGGGCCGCCAGGCCCGCCGAAGGCCCUAUAAACUCUGAAUGUUAGUGUCGUCUGAGUACUAUACAAUAGUUAAAACUUUCAACAACGGAUCUCUUGGUUCUG
rnacentral:misc_RNA from 1 species